UGAGGAAUAUUGGUCAAUGGUCGGGAGACUGAACCAGCCAAGCCGCGUGAGGGAUGAAGGUACAGAGUAUCGUAAACCUCUUUUGUCAGGGAACAAAAGGCGCCACGCGUGGCGCUCCGAGUGUACCUGAAGAAAAAGCAUCGGCUAACUCCGUGCCAGCAGCCGCGGUAAUACGGAGGAUGCGAGCGUUAUCCGGAUUUAUUGGGUUUAAAGGGUGCGUAGGCGGCGAGUUAAGUCAGCGGUAAAAGCCCGGGGCUCAACCCCGGCCCGCCGUUGAAACUGGCUUGCUUGAGUUGGAGAGAAGUAGGCGGAAUGCGCGGUGUAGCGGUGAAAUGCUUAGAUAUCGCGCAGAACUCCGAUUGCGAAGGCAGCCUACCGGCUCCACACUGACGCUGAGGCACGAAAGCGUGGGGAUCGAACAGGAUUAGAUACC
rnacentral:rRNA from 1 species